GAUGAACGCUGGCGGCGUGCUUAACACAUGCAAGUCGAGCGAGAAUUAAGUGGCGGAAGCUUAGGCAGAAGAAACUUAAGGAAAGCGGCGGACGGGUGAGUAACGCGUGGGUAACCUUCCUUAUACAGGGGGAUAACAUAUUGAAAAGUAUGCUAAUACCGCAUAAGACCACAGGGUCGCAUGACCUGGUGGUAAAAACUCCGGUGGUAUAAGAUGGACCCGCGUCUGAUUAGCUAGUAGGUGAGGUAGAGGCUCACCUAGGCGACGAUCAGUAGCCGACCUGAGAGGGUGAUCGGCCACAUUGGGACUGAGACACGGCCCAAACUCCUACGGGAGGCAGCAGUGGGGAAUAUUGCACAAUGGAGGGAACUCUGAUGCAGCGACGCCGCGUGAAGGAAGAAGGUUUUCGGAUCGUAAACUUCUAUCAGCAGGGAAGAAAAUGACGGUACCUGACUAAGAAGCCCCGGCUAACUACGUG
rnacentral:rRNA from 1 species